GAGGAAAUUGAAGAGACCAGGACAAAUUGUGUGUAUCACUUUCAAAAUGAGUCUUGCUAGAGGUCGGGCCCUGCUUCCAGGAAACAUCAAAGGAGGAGAUUUGAAAUUUUUAACCACAUUAUUGCAUAAAUUGCCUUAAGAGAUUCAGUCUAAAUGAUAUAUGUUCAUAGCAUCAACACUCGUGUAUAGUAUGACAUUGUACCGAUGAAUAAUGCAUUUAUUGUGUGGUAGAUCAAUUGAUCAUCCUAAUAGUGCUGUAUUUUUCUUUUUUAAGAUUUUCACAGCAUGGUGCAUUUAUCUAUUCAGUCAUCUGUUUGUAAGUUUUAUGUUAUGAUUAUAAUGUCAUGGUUGAAAUUAAGGAUUGUUGUAUAUUAUAUUACAAACAAAUGUAUUUUUUUAUCUAUAAUUUCCCAUUCAUUAGAACAAUGUCAAUAAUAUGCUCAAUUUUAUGCUACAACUUUCCUAAUAUUAGACAUUUUGAUCCGCUUUUUCUUUUAAUUUUUCCCAGUUUACCUUUCUUUAUAAAGCAUGAUGAUCAUCAUAUCAUAUGUCUUCUCCUUCGUAACCCUUUCUUUAUCAAUUAUCAUGUUAUCUUUUUAUAUGGUUUGUGUGAUAAAGGGAGGCAGUAAAAUAUUUUUAACCCAUAAUUUGAAAAAGAUGACGAGGUGUAUAGUUGGACCAUCUUAUAGCUUGACAAUGACAACAGAAUUUAGAUUCUUUAACUGUUAUUUAUGUUUGAACACAUUGAUAUUGCUUCAACCUUCAAAUGGGUCUUCCUUUCAGUGUGAUGAUUAGCAAUCUGUACUAUGUUAGCACUAAUGUUGUAUCAGUAUCUGUCACCAAAGAAGACACAACAUCUUCCUUUCUCCCUGGAAGUAAUCCGACCUAAACCAUCAUCAUCUUUUGCAGAUAGAAUAUGAAUGUGCAAGCUGUGGCUGAGAACACGCACACGCACUCUGCACCUUGAAAUUAGUAAAGGGUAACUUUGAUUUCAACUUUGGUGCUUCUAGCCUAGAUUGCUGGUAUAGUAUAGCAGGCUAAUUUCCAUAAGCUAUGGUGUCGUGUUUCUUGUCUCCUUUCUCUUGUCUUGACACAUGUAUUGUAGAAUAUGAGUUGCACAUGUGAGACGUGAUUUCUUUCCUUGAUAUUAACCCUUCCUUCCUUUUUCUCCCCGAGUUCUUGCACACGCAUAAAGCAGUGUGAUUGUGAUGUGCUCUGACGUCCAGUGAAAAAUUAGAAUGGUGAAGCUUGACCGACAUAAAAAAAAAGGAGCUAUUUUUGGCCACUUAUUUUGGUUUCUAAAUGUUCUAACUUUACAACAAAAGUUUAAGAUACUUAUAGCAUUUUUACUUGAUGAUUUAUUCUGUUUAUGCAGGUUUACUGAUGCUAGAAUUUGGCUUUUUUAUUUUCACCAUGAGAAGGAAACACCGACACGGCAAAGCUCAAUUAGUCAUUAUUCAUGCUUUCAGGUCAACUCUGGGACAGUUCCCACAAAAGCACAAACCAUGAUGCUGACUCAAGAACUCCCUCCACAUGCACCAGAAAAGCAACUUGUAACUCGUAAGCGCCAUUUGAAUACUCAAAUCUGUUAUAUAGUGUGUCAAUACAGUAAAAUUGUAUUACCUAUGACUAGUAAAUUGUAAAGUUACACAAUGCUAUUAAAACAUUUCAUUCUUCAUUUAUCAACUCAGAAGUCUCACGAGAGACACUCUGAAAUACUAUAUUCAGCAUAUGGCUGCAAGAAUAUGUGAUGUUCUCUUCAGAAUUCUUAAUUGUUAAAACACAGCCCUC